GUGUCAGCCGCCGCGGUAAUACGUAGGGGCCGAGCGUUGUCCGGAGUUACUGGGCGUAAAGCGCGCGCAGGCGGUCAUCUAAGCCCGGCGUGAAAGCCCCCGGCUCAACCGGGGAGGGUCGUCGGGGACUGGGUGACUUGAGGACGGCAGGGGCUGGUGGAAUCCCCGGUGUAGUGGUGAAAUGCGUAGAGAUCGGGGGGAACACCCGUGGCGAAGGCGGCCAGCUGGGCCGGACCUGACGCUGAGGCGCGAAGGCGUGGGGAGCGAACGGGAUUAGAUACCCCGGUAGUCCACGCAGUAAACGAUGCCGACUGGGCGUGGGGGGACUUGACCCCCUCCGUGCCGGAGCCAACGCGGGAAGUCGGCCGCCUGGGGAGUACGGCCGCAAGGCUAAA
rnacentral:rRNA from 1 species